CCUACAAGUCGAGCAGGGACGAAAGUCGGGCUUAGUGAUCCGGUGGUUCCGCAUGGAAGGGCCAUCGCUCAACGGAUAAAAGCUACCCCGGGGAUAACAGGCUUAUCUCCCCCAAGAGUCCACAUCGACGGGGAGGUUUGGCACCUCGAUGUCGGCUCAUCGCAUCCUGGGGCUGUAGUCGGUCCCAAGGGUUGGGCUGUUCGCCCAUUAAAGCGGUACGCGAGCUGGGUUCAGAACGUCGUGAGACAGUUCGGUCCCUAUCCGUCGCGGGCGCAGGAAAUUUGAGAGGAGCUGUCCUUAGUACGAGAGGACCGGGAUGGACGCACCGCUGGUGUACCAGUUGUUCUGCCAAGGGCAUCGCUGGGUAGCUAUGUGCGGACGGGAUAAGUGCUGAAAGCAUCUAAGCAUGAAGCCCCCCUCAAGAUGAGAUUUCCCAUUCCGCAAGGAAGUAAGAUCCCUGAAAGAUGAUCAGGUUGAUAGGUCUGAGGUGGAAGCGUGGUGACACGUGGAGCUGACAGAUACUAAUAGAUCGAGGACUUAACCUAU
rnacentral:rRNA from 1 species